UGGGGAAUUUUGGACAAUGGGCGAAAGCCUGAUCCAGCAAUGCCGCGUGUGUGAAGAAGGCCUUCGGGUUGUAAAGCACUUUUGUCCGGAAAGAAAUCCUUGGCUCUAAUACAGUCGGGGGAUGACGGUACCGGAAGAAUAAGCACCGGCUAACUACGUGCCAGCAGCCGCGGUAAUACGUAGGGUGCAAGCGUUAAUCGGAAUUACUGGGCGUAAGCGUGCGCAGGCGGUUUGCUAAGACCGAUGUGAAUCCCCGGGCUCAACCUGGGAACUGCAUUGGUGACUGGCAGGCUAGAGUAUGGCAGAGGGGGGUUAGAAUUCCACGUGUAGCAGUGAAAUGCGUAGAGAUGUGGAGGAAUACCGAUGGCGAAGGCAGCCCCCUGGGCCAAUACUGACGCUCAUGCACGAAAGCGUGGGGGAGCAAAACAGGAUUAGAUACCCCUGGGUAGUCCACGCCCUAAANGAUGUCAACUAGUUGUUGGGGAUUCAUUUUCCUUAGUAACGUAGCUAACGCGUGAAGUUGACCGCCUGGGGGAGUACGGUCGCAA
rnacentral:rRNA from 1 species